rnacentral:rRNA from 1 species
AACGAACGCUGGCGGCAUGCCUAACACAUGCAAGUCGAACGAGACCUUCGGGUCUAGUGGCGCACGGGUGCGUAACGCGUGGGAAUCUGCCCUUGGGUUCGGAAUAACAGUUGGAAACGACUGCUAAUACCGGAUGAUGACGUAAGUCCAAAGAUUUAUCGCCCAAGGAUGAGCCCGCGUAGGAUUAGCUAGUUGGUGAGGUAAAGGCUCACCAAGGCGACGAUCCUUAGCUGGUCUGGGAGGAUGAUCAGCCACGCUGGGACUGAGACACGGCCCAGACUGCUACGGGGGGCAGCAGUGGGGUAUAUUGGGCAAGGGGCGAAAGCCUGAUCCAGCAGUGCCGCGUGAGUGAUGAAGGCCUUAGGGUUGUAAAGCUCUUUUACCCGAGAUGAUAAUGACAGUACCGGGAGAAUAAGCUCCGGCUAACUCCGUG